GCAGCAUGGUCUUAGCUUGCUAAGGCUGAUGGCGACCGGCGCACGGGUGAGUAACACGUAUCCAACCUGCCGUCUACUCUUGGCCAGCCUUCUGAAAGGAAGAUUAAUCCAGGAUGGGAUCAUGAGUUCACAUGUCCGCAUGAUUAAAGGUAUUUUCCGGUAGACGAUGGGGAUGCGUUCCAUUAGAUAGUAGGCGGGGUAACGGCCCACCUAGUCAACGAUGGAUAGGGGUUCUGAGAGGAAGGUCCCCCACAUUGGAACUGAGACACGGUCCAAACUCCUACGGGAGGCAGCAGUGAGGGAUAUUGGUCAAUGGGCGAUGGCCUGAACCAGCCAAGUAGCGUGAAGGAUGACUGCCCUAUGGGUUGUAAACUUCUUUUAUAAAGGAAUAAAGUCGGGUAUGCAUACCCGUUUGCAUGUACUUUAUGAAUAAGGAUCGGCUAACUCCGUGCCAGCAGCCGCGGUAAUACGGAGGAUCCGAGCGUUAUCCGGAUUUAUUGGGUUUAAAGGGAGCGUAGAUGGAUGUUUAAGUCAGUUGUGAAAGUUUGCGGCUCAACCGUAAAAUUGCAGUUGAUACUGGAUGUCUUGAGUGCAGUUGAGGCAGGCGGAAUUCGUGGUGUAGCGGUGAAAUGCUUAGAUAUCACGAAGAACUCCGAUUGCGAAG
rnacentral:rRNA from 1 species